GGAGUAUUUGAAAACUAAUUUUCGAUAUUCACCCGCUAGCACGAACUCUUGCAGUCAUCGGCUGAUCACUGGCCACUGUCCCCACCCUCCCCUGCGAACAUUAUGUCCGACGCUGAGUCUCACCUCUCUCUGCAGUCGUUGACGCCUGUCGACCUCAAGCAGCUGUCGAGGCAGCAGAAAAUUAUACUGCUUCAGGACUACCGCUCUAGCGGGGCACGAAAUGCCAACAAGAUGCUUUUCUUAGCCACAGACCUGCUGGCUGGCGGGUCGAGUGGGCUGUCAUCUAGCGAGCUGUACGACGUGUACGAGCAGGUGCUGAUCGCCUCCCUCGAGUGCGGUCGUAUCGAGAACGCUACUAUGUAUCUGAACCUGCUUGAGAGUCGAUUCGGAAAGAAGUCUAUUCGCGUCAGCCACCUGCGCGGCCUGUGCCUGGAGGCGCAAGGCAAGAUCCCGGAGGCGAAGAAGCUGUACGAGCAGGUGCUGAAGGACAUGCCAACGAACGACUUCUGUGUGCAGCGGCUGAGCGCCAUCUACAAGAGCAACGGCCACUACAAGGAGGCCAUUCGUGUCCUCGAGGAGGACCUCGUGUACACGGACGAGGAUGAUAAGCAGCACACCUACGUAGAGGUGCACCGCGGCGACGCCUUGCCGACCUAUCGCGAACUGAGCAACCUCCACUACCUCCUCGGCAACAAUGACAAGGCCAUAUUCUACGCGGAGGAGUGUCUUCUGUUCGACAACGAGUCCUACUUUGCUCACGUGCGCCUCGGCGAGCUGUACUACAUGAAGCGUGAUCUGCCGCGCUGCGUCAUCGAGUACUCGCAGUCGCUCCUCUUCAACUCGCAGCAGAACAACUCGCGGGCGGCCUACGGAUUGUGGCAGGUCACAAACGAAAUGCUGCGUCAGCAUCAGUCCGGCAUCAAGAAGAUCGAGGACGAGGCGGUGCUGACGCAGACGCAGGACCUGCGCACGUACGCGGCCGAGACGCUGCGCCGCAUGUACGCCGGUACUGCCAUGCUGUCGGCCUUGGAUGCCUACCUGCAGCGAGAGGCCUAGAGCUGCCCCUUUAUACGUGUACGUGGCCCUUCCCUCUCUCUCUCCUUUCCCUCUACUUCGUUGUUUUAGCGGGUUUGUUUUUUUGGCGGGCUGCUUGUUGUGAUCGGCGGAACUGUUUGUCUGGUGUGGUGCGGCUGCACGGGUGUUGCGGUCCCCUGUCCGCGCUUCUCCUCCUCCUUUUACGCCUACACGAAUUUGUCCCAUCCCCCGCCGUCGACCUGCCUGCCCUCUCUGUUGGUCUUUCGGUCGAGCUGCUUUGGGUGCAGGAACGUGUCCGUGCAUGUCGCCGUAACGUAAGGCAAUGCCCCACACAUCUAAAGACGGCGAGCUCAACGUGCACGAGGAGCAACGCAGCCGCAGAAGCGAAGAGGAUAUGGCCCGGGGUGAGUCGGUGGCUAGCAAGUAACGCGCGCCAUGUCUAUCCCCUCUUACUCCAUCUCGACGCUUCGCAGCCGCUGCCAUCCGGCCUUCCUUGCGUGCGCGUAGCUGGCUGACCAUCAAUCUC
rnacentral:misc_RNA from 1 species